rnacentral:rRNA from 1 species
UGCAGUCGAACGGUAGCAUGUGUACAUGUGCUUGCACUUAUGACUGACGAGUGGCGGACGGGUGAGUAAUACUUAGGAAUCAUGCCUUUGUGUGGGGGAUAACCAUUGGAAACGAUGGCUAAUACCGCAUAAUGUCUUUGGACCAAAGAGGGCUUUCGGGCUCUCGCGCAAAGAGUGGCCUAAGUGAGAUUAGCUUGUUGGUGUGGUAAAGGCUCACCAAGGCGACGAUCUCUAGCUGUUCUGAGAGGAAGAUCAGCCACACUGGAACUGAGACACGGUCCAGACUCCUACGGGAGGCAGCAGUGGGGAAUAUUGCACAAUGGGGGAAACCCUGAUGCAGCCAUGCCGCGUGUGUGAAGAAGGCCUUCGGGUUGUAAAGCACUUUCAGUUGUGAGGAAAGUUUGAUGGUUAAUACCCAUUAGAUGUGACGUUAACAACAGAAGAAGGACCGGCUAACUCCGUGCCAGCAGCCGCGGUAAUACGGAGGGUCCGAGCGUUAAUCGGAAUUACUGGGCGUAAAGCGCACGCAGGCGGUUUGUUAAGCUAGAUGUGAAAGCCCCGGGCUCAACCUGGGAAUGGCAUUUAGAACUGGCAGACUAGAGUCUUGGAGAGGGGAGUGGAAUUUCUGGU